CUGUCAGACAGGGAGGGAAGGAGGAAGGGAGGGACGAAAGGAGCUGCCGUAGCUCCGCCACACGCCGGGAUCCUUCGGGAAGUGCGGGGCGAGCUGGGCUGGAGCGCGGCUCCAGGCUCCUCACCACGGCCCCGGGCGCCCCAGCCGGCGGGACGCGGGGAGGAAAAAAAGGGGAGCCGGCGCUGGCGUUAUUGCUCUUUCCUCUCCUUAAGGAGGUCAAACGCGAUCGUUCAGAGCUAUUGAUUGCUCCUCGGGCUUGUAGUGAUUUGUUAAAAGGCUAAUGGAAUGAGUCAUCGACAGAGUGGAUUAUUUAAAGCACCAUGAGGAGAAUUAAGCUGUGAACUGGAAUUCCAGCAGGCUGUCUACUCUGAAGCCCCGUGGCUUUAGAAAAGGGGCAGUAGUGGUCAGAAAUGACACUCAAAAGCAAAUAACAUGGAAUUAAUAGAAUUCCAGUACCUGUGAAAGAGAGAAGAUGCUUUCACUACACACAACCAUCUAAGAAACUGGUAGCAGAGGAUGGGAAGUGCCAUCACACAUAUUUUGGAGCCUACAUCUGCAUCAGCACAAGCAUGCAGGUUCAGAGGGAGGUGCACAUUUUCAUUCUGGAUUGCUGGCUCUGCUCUCUUGGUGCAAGUCUGUCCUCAAAACACUGGAGAUUAACAUCUGCAGAGACUUUCCCCCUGCACGGGAGAGCCCAGCUUUCUGAACCAUGUCACCCACCGGUGGAUCUUAGUUUGACUGUGAAGAUGGACACUAGGAAGCUGUGGGAAUGCAGUGCCCAGUUAAGGUGUUUACUAGUGAGCCAAGGAAACUGGUAUUACCUGUUGGACUCCAGUGCAGCACCGGGGAGCUUCUCCUGUAUCUGAUGUUACCUCAAGGGAAGAGUCAUUUGUCUCUGUUUCCAUCUCAGAUGUCUUCUCACCCUUCCCUGGAGAUGACACAUUGAAUUAAACCAUUUUUCUGGUGAUUAGAAUCCAACCUAAAGUCCACUGGAUUCAGAUGUGACCUGGAUUUCUUGGCUGAGGCCACAAACUGCUUUAGGCUCCUGAUUUUUUCUGCUCCUCAGGGUCUGCUUACCAUGCAUUUCCACGGGGGAUAGAGAUUGAACAUUUUUGACAAUGAUGUCACUAAUCUUGCAUAUUUUUAGUAUAAAUUUUCUUUGACGAGCCUCCCCCCUCUGCCAGCUUUCUGGUAUUUAUCACUUGUGUUAUGGUUUCUAGGUAGUGGUGUACAUAGCACAAUGAAUUCUUCUGAUAUUCCUCUUGAGAGGCAAGCAGCAAGAUUUGUUACCUACCUGGUGGUAGAAUGGAUGAACACCAUGUGCCACAGGAUACACAUUUUAACUGGAAAAAUUAAGAUUUGAAUUUACAAGUAAUUUUUCAGUUCAACCUUUACCAGAUGUGAUGUUGUGGCACAUGCCAAAUUCCUUGAAAAGCAAGGAAAACAACCCCUGAAGUUUAAUACCAGUUACAGAAAGGAGUGUCUUCAAAGAUCUGAAUGUUUGGAUUUUUAAAAAAGUACUGCUUAUAUUUUUUAGGGCACAACUUGUGGGUGCUGUUCAAAAGGCUGUAGGUUUUAAUGCCCAAUUGAAUAUAGUGACUAAUUUUCACAGCACAAACUACACUAUCAAUUUUCUGCUGCUAUUCUAAAUAAAAGGUAUUUUCCUUGCACACCAACUAUAAAAUUUCAGUCACUUAAAUUAUACACAUUGAUCUGUCUGUGGUGGAAAUUACAAAUUAGGCUUUAUUUUUCUGGGAAGGUGCUAUGCAUCUGUUCUAACCUCUUGACAAAUUACCACACAAUCCAGUGUCUGCUAACAAGGUAUUCAUAGACUAUAAAACUGAAAAUAUAACCCUUUUAGCCUAAAAUGCUUCAGACCUAUCAACCCUUAGAAACUAGUUCUGGAAAACAGUUCUGCUAUGCAACUCAAAGGUCAGCAAGAUGGAGGAAGAGGCCGCAGUGAUUUUUGAGGGCAGUAAAAGAAGAGAGACCUUUAAGUAAAUAAUAACAAAUGAAGAACACUAGUUGACCCAAUCUGCAGAAAAGGGAUGAAGAACGAAGAAGGAAGGCUGUGUUAUUUGGGCUGAUGGCCGAAAAAUUCAUUUUUACUUGUACCUGGAAAUAUUUAGGCAGCUGUUGCACAAUUUGAGAACUUUGAGAGUAGGCUGCAAGCAAGCAGACUCUGAAGAGACCACAUGAGAAAGAAACUGCUUUGUCAUCCAAGUUUCCAGAUAUUCUUCAGCCCGAGGUACAAUGCAUUUCAGUAAUUCAACUUAAAGGACCCAUGAAUAAUUUUAUAAUGUCUCCUAUGUGAAUUCAAAACAUUGCAGAACCCAUGGGUGACCACUCUUGCUAACAUGGCUUUUGGUAAGAUUCCUCAGUGUAGGAGGAAUGGGAAUUUCCUUUCUCUAACUCUCAUCAGUUGCUUCUACCAAGGCAGCUUGCUGGAAACCUCUUAUUUAAGUCUCAGGCUGAAGCACAGCAAGGGGAAGAGCACCAUCUGCGGCACUCCUCCUCCCAAAAGACAAGCUGGACACAUACAGUUUGACCACUUAAACACCAGCUAGAACUAGUGGGAAUCCAGACUGCCCUGCCCAGCCCAGCUCAGAUUUUAAGGACAGGAGGAUGUGAUCAACAAACUGUGAUUCUCCAUGCUGGGAGUGUGUUGAGGCUGAAGUGCAUUGACAAGAGCUGGCAACACAAGAAGCAGUAAAUAUUUGUGCUUUGUCACUUGAGUCAGCACAUAUAAUUCUUCACAUACGUAAGAACGAGCUCUGCUGCAGAAGAAAAUACCAUUUUUACAAUAACUUUUCAGAGUGGAACUGUGCCUUAAAUCAAACAAGCAAGCACUGAGUCAGCUCAGUGGCAGAGCAACAACAAUUUGAUCUGCUACGUGGCAAGCUUUGGUUUGGAGAUACUAAACAAUUCUUCAUCCUGGGCCUCAGGCUUGUAAAUAUGAUAGAAGAUGAUGCAAUGCGUUCAGACUCUGGGGAGAAAAGGAACAGUCAUACCACUCUUGAGAAACCUUUUGUGAAGAAAAAUUUAUUGUGUGCCCCCAGGUGCAAAGGCUAUGGAUGAAAUGCAACUCAAUAAAGACAAGUCAAGGUGUUUCAAGAGAGCUAAUGAACAUUUCAGUAUUUGCACUUAGUCAGAUAAAGCACUUUUCCAGCUGAGUAAGGAGACAGCAAUCAUGUGAGUAUGAUUUCUGUGUGAUAACAAAUGCUCCCAGAGGUUGUUUUUUAAGUCCAUGGGGUUUUUUUGUCUGGUACAAAGGUGAUCUUAUUAAUGAAAGCUAAUCAGCUCUCCACCUUUAUGCUUCCCUUUACUUUUAAAAAUUUCCUUUAUGAGAAGAGUGUAAUUCUUUAAUGAGGGUCACCCGUCUUUUAAGCAGAGUAGUAGCUUAGUAUUUUCUACAUAUACAGAGCAGUCUUGGAUACCCUUUACUUCUCAUUCUAUAAAUGGUAAGAAAGUCCAUUGACAGGUAGUUUAUAAUUUAUGUGUGCUGUUUGAUUUUCUUGUCCAAGUGCAGCUGAUGGGACAUAUAAAAGAAAUCCUUAACAUCUUAUUGCCAGACAGAAUAUCAACAUGAGCACUAGGAAUUCAUAACACCUGUGGAAAGAAGUGCUGUACAUAUGCCAUGAGAUAUAAGAGAAUAUAUUCAAGGAAUGCCCAUCACAGCACCCAGUCAAGCUUCUGCAAGGAUUUUUCAUAAACCAUGCUGGCUUGAUAAUGAAUUCUGAUAGAGAACAUGAUGUUAAUUCAUCUAUUCCUCUCUUACUCCUGGAUUUAAAAAAAAAAAAAAAUUUUAGCCUCUGAGUACUUCUGUGAUCUGAUUUCUUACACCCUGCAGGGGACAGCAUUGGGUAAAGAAAAGUUGUAAUCAUAUGAUAAAGAAGCAUUUGCUUCCAAUUAUCAAAUUAUAUUUUGUUAAUUAAGAUACAAAAAAAAUUUUUUUUGGCAGGUUGGCACAAAUCCUCUCUAUCUUUUCUCCCUUUAGCUCUUCUGAAUUUUUUAAUCAAAAUUAUUUUGGUUACACAGUUUAUUUUGCUAUCACUAGUGAGAAAGGUUCCCAACAAUGUGUAGUUACACCACCAUUACUAAUGAAGAAGAAAUGCUGCAUAGCAUUGCUAUAACUCAGAGCUUUCUUCUCAUGGCAGGCUCUGUAACACAGUUUUUCAGCAGCUAUGCUGAAUCCCCUCUAUGUUGUCAACAUAGGUAUCAGUUUGCAAGGAAAAAAAAUUGCUUUUAUGCUAUCAUCUUUCAUUAAAAUAUAAAUAUAUAUGUGUAGGGACAUGGAGGCACACACACUCAACAUAUUUUUGCCUGUAAAAGUGCAUGUAAAUGCAAGACAAAGUGUUUGUUUGUAUUUCCCUCAGCCAUUGCUGAAAAAAAAUAAAGGUGUUUUCUCUCCCACAAAUAAGCCUGUAUUUAAAAAUGAUCUUGGAAGAGGUGUAUGGUAGCCUUGUUUAUUUUGGGCAGAUGCAAAGAAGUAUCUCUGAACUUCUGCCAGUGAUCAAAGGAACUGAUGAUGUAGAACAGAUUCAUGGGCCAUGUCCUAUCAGCCUGCACUUUACCCGUCAUCCAUCAUCCAAACCCUAAGCCUUUUUCUGAGUGAUGAUUGCACCCUAAACACAUAAAAUUAAUCACCACUCUAUCCUGGCCAGGUGUCUUGCCUCCAGAAAUUAUCUCAUUGCAGCAAAAGAACUGCUAGAAUCUGAUAUCUGUACUGUAAUUUAAUUUGAAGAAUAGUGCACAGUAACACUAAGAUUGAUUUACAUAUCUGAGAAGUUUCUAGUUUCACAAAGCCAAUAUAAAUUCUUGGAGAAAUAUGUAAUUGGAAAAAAAAAAAUUGGUUGAUCAUAAAAUCAGGGCAUCUGAAUAUUUAUUAACUUCUGGAAUUUUCAGUUGAUGCUUUCUACUAUAAUCGUAACUUAACAGUGGGUUUAAAAUGCAGCUUGCAAAACUAGAAAGGCCAGAUAUUUGAAUCAGUAUAAAUUCAGUGUUGGACUCAUGUAUAAGCAAAACCCUAUCUCCAGGAGACUGGACUUUACAUAAAUAGCAUCUACUUUGCCUUUCAGAGAGCUUCUUUAUGUAAAGCAUUUCUCUUCAUGUAUUUCUUUUUUCCCCUCCUUGGAAAACAGAAGAGAAAUGAACCAGCAGAAAAUUAAACUAUUUUAUACAUCUCUAUUUUUGAAAAGACAGUGGAGAAAUUGUGGGUAAUGAAUAGGUCAAAUAUAUGUCUUUUUGUGAAAUGCAGAAUUAAAGAUACGUAGGCCCUGAUGUACUUCAGCUGUUCUUCCACACACAAACUCACCUUUUCCCCCACAGAAUACACACAGCAAGCCUGUAUUUUACAAUUAUAAGUACAAAUGGGAAAAUAAUCUCCACCUAAUGAUAAGUGGCAAUAACAGGCUACUUUCAAUAUGCAUAUGAACAAGAAGAGAGGAGCUGCUUCUUCACUAUAAAUAUAUGGCCUAACUACCAGGAAAAUUCUGCUAGUGUUCUGCUUCACUUCUGGAUUAACUGCAAAUCCUAAUAAUUUGCUUUUAAUUGAGAGCUUAGCUCCUAUAUUAAAUUAACAUAGGAAAGCAAAUGUGCCCCAAAGAUGUAUUAUUAAAAUAAAAAAAUAACACAACAUUCUGGUUUAAAAAAACCCUUACUUGCUGUGAAACCAAUAGGAAGAAAGCAUCUGAAAAAGAAAGCUUCAUAAACAGGAAGAAUAUUUAAAUGGGCCAUUAAACUGCCUUAAUUCAAACAACAAUAUUACUGUAGAUUUAUCUAUGAUGAU